rnacentral:tRNA from 1 species
GCCUCCUUAGCUCAUCAGGCUAGAGCGUCCGCCUUGUAAGCGGAAGGUGUCCGGUUCGAGGCCGGAAGGGGGCUCCA